UACAAGGCUGUAUACCGUUGUAGUCCAAGUGUCGUGACCAGGGUUUAGAGCGAUAACGUCAUCCUUCUCAUACUGUUUCCAUAGUGUUUCAUGUUGUGCAUCCUCAUCCUUUUCUUGUUGCAUCUGACGCGUGACGGAGAUCUUUGACCUUCGCCUUCAACUCUCAUCUCGAGUUCUCGACUCAAUCCGACCCUUGUCCUAGCCGACCAGACCAACAGUUUUGCGGUUCCACCUAAGAUAACAAGAAAGCUUGGAAAUGUAAGCUUGAGUUGUACCGAAAUAUGAGUGGAAGAGAGAAAGGGGGUUACCGACCUGGACAAGUGCAGAGAAUGUUGUAGCAGCGUUGAUGGGUUAUAAGCUCUUGAUGAGAAUGUGUCGACGGUUUCACUUACUCUCCAUACAAAACACAUAUACAGAGAAGCGGGCAGUUUCUAUCCUGCAAAUGCAUGGACGGUAGUAGUACCGAUGAGUGUUAAGUAAGUAAGUUUCUAUACAUGCAACAGUUGGCAGUUCAGUCCUGCGACCAACCUGCUUUUCAAGGGCAGUGGUCCAUUCGAUCUUCCCACGUUGAAAUCCGUGCCUCCGGCUCCUUCUGUUGCUCACCCUCAGCUGUGCUGCCAAAGAAAGAGAGCAUCCAUGUUAGCUUCUGAAGUCAGAGUAGUUAAGAUGAAGUUUAGGAGUCAGAACACAAUUCAAAAUUCGCUAGAACAACACAAACUAUUUAUCACCUAACAAAGCUCAGUAAAUUAGAUUGCACGCGGCUCGAGGAAGAGAGAUCAGGUUUGUAUAACUAAUAAAUGGAAUGAAUACCUUCGACAAAACUGCUCGGAAUUUCUUCCAGAUCAUCACAAUUAAUUCAGUGCUCGCAUGAACUUAAUGAAUGUGGUGAUCAUGUUCGUUUGAUACUUACAAUUUUCAAAGAUCAGCGUGGAUGCUCUGAAACUUUCUCCUGCAAGGCACCUUCUUUCCUCAUCACAACUUUACUUUGCAGGUGCUAAUCCCAGCAGAAACUUAACUUUCCUCUCCAUGCUCUGCUAUUACCAUCUCAACCACAUCCCCUAUCUCCAAAUAUGAAAAAAGAAAACCUGGCAAUGCGGGUGCAGUUGAAGCUGGACGUCAAGUAAUCAGUUGCUAUCAAACUUCCAAUCCUAAACUGUUGUAUUUCUAUAAAACUUUCUGCAUACUUACAUCUGGAAGUUAGCAAACAUGACAGGAUUUUCGGAAAGAUGUGGGCCUGUUCGUGCCUCCUCCACUGUAGUUGCUGCCACUGGAUCAGACCUGCAUGCUGAUCAAC
rnacentral:lncRNA from 1 species